rnacentral:rRNA from 1 species
AGGACGAACGCUGGCGGCGUGCUUAACACAUGCAAGUCGAGCGGAAAGGCCCUUCGGGGUACUCGAGCGGCGAACGGGUGAGUAACACGUGAGCAACCUGCCCUUAGCUCCGGGAUAGCUCCGGGAAACCGGAAUUAAUACCGGAUAUGACCACGGCCGACAUCUGCCGUGGUGGAAAGGAUUCCGGCUAAGGAUGGGCUCGCGGCCUAUCAGCUAGUUGGUGGAGUAACGGCCCACCAAGGCGACGACGGGUAGCCGGCCUGAGAGGGCGACCGGCCACACUGGGACUGAGACACGGCCCAGACUCCUACGGGAGGCAGCAGUGGGGAAUAUUGCGCAAUGGGCGAAAGCCUGACGCAGCGACGCCGCGUGGGGGAUGAAGGCCUUCGGGUUGUAAACCCCUUUCAGCAGGGACGAAGCGAAAGUGACGGUACCUGCAGAAGAAGCGCCGGCUAACUACGUGCCAGCAGCCGC